rnacentral:rRNA from 1 species
UACAGAGACUGCAAGCGUUGUUCGGAUUCAUUGGGCGUAAAGGGUCCGUAGGCGGUCGGUUAAGUCGGAUGUGAAAUCUCGUGGCCUAACCACGAGCGGUCAUUCGAAACUAAUCGGCUAGAGGGCUGGAGAGGAGACUGGAAUUGUCGGUGUAGCGGUGAAAUGCGUAGAGAUCCGGAGGAACACCGACGGCGUAGGCAGCGCCCUGGCCGUUUUACCUGACGCUGAAGCACGAAAGCUGGGGGAGCGAACAGG